GCCAGCCUCCUUCAGUCUAAACCAGUCUGCAUUAUGAUAUACGAGGGUGAUGAUUGUCAGGUGUCAACAAAUAGAUCGAUUCAAUCUCAACAGAAAACAACCACUUCAAGGGGGUAAACAGUGACAUAAAAAGGCUUUAAAUAAAAGAGUGGCAGAGGAUUAAGUGAGGAAGCACAAAGGAAACGCAGGCUGAUAAGAUUAAAAGAACAAAGCGGUGCAAGGUGGCAGUAAGAUU